rnacentral:rRNA from 1 species
UACGUAGGGUGCAAGCGUUGUCCGGAAUUAUUGGGCGUAAAGAGCGUGUAGGCGGCCUGGUAAGUCCGCUGUGAAAGUCCAGGGCUCAACCCUGGAAUGCCGGUGGAAACUGUCAGGCUCGAGUCCGGAAGAGGCGAGUGGAAUUCCUGGUGUAGCGGUGAAAUGCGCAGAUAUCAGGAGGAACACCAAUGGCGAAGGCAGCUCGCUGGGACGGUACUGACGCUGAGACGCGAAAGCGUGGGGAGCAAACAGG